AACUGUUUUUUAAUUUUUUUUUUUUUUUUUUUAUAAUAAAUAUGUAGGUCACUGGUUUUUCAAAAGGUUAUUCAAUAAAAGCCACAAGUACGGACGCGUACGAUAUUGUACAAUAUAAUAUAAUGAGCGCCUAGUCGUGUGUACGAGCACGCCAUGUCGACGAGGCUAUACGGCGGGCGCUUAUCUCGUGUUGUUUUUUGCCUCCGACCGUCUCUCGAGAAGCGAACUUCGGCUUAUACGCACGUAAAGCGUGCCGGGGCGUAGGGAGCGGCGCCGGGACGGCGGCGGAGGGCGAAACUACUUCCCCUCUAGAUUGCGGAUUAAUGACGAAUUAGCAUAUAAAGUGACGGUUAUGUCAAGGCGAAUGUCGCUGCGACGCUGGCCCCGGGCAACUUAAAACACCGUCCGCCACCGUCGUCGCCGCCGCCACCGAUACCCGUCUAAUGACCAAGGGAUUACCCGCCGCCGGUAACGGAGGGCG